UCACUGGCAUGAUGAUUAAUUUUGGGUGUCAACUUAACUGGAUUAAAGGACACACAGAUAGCUGGUAAAGCAUUAUUUCUGAGUAUGUCGGCCAGCAUGUUUCCA